rnacentral:rRNA from 1 species
AAACGGGUGCGGAACACGUACGCAACCUUCCCAUAACUGGUGAAUACGCCCUACCGAAAGGAGGAUUAAUACACCGUAACUUAACGAAGUGGCAUCUACUUUGUUAAUAUAGGCUUCGGUCCGGUUUUGGAGUGGGCGUGCGCCUGAUUAGGUAGUGGCGGGGUAACGGCCCACCAAGCCUGCGAUCAGUAACUGGUGUGAGAGCACGACCAGUCACACGGGCACUGAGACACGGGCCCGACUCCUACGGGAGGCAGCAGUAAGGAAUAUUGGUCAAUGGACGAAAGUCUGAACCAGCCAUGCCGCGUGAAGGAUUAAGGCCCUCUGGGUUGUAAACUUCUUUUAUCUGGGACGAAAAAAGGGGUAUUCUUACUCACUUGACGGUACCAGAGGAAUAAGCACCGGCUAACUCCGUG